rnacentral:rRNA from 1 species
AUUGAACGCUGGCGGCAGGCCUAACACAUGCAAGUCGAACGGUAACAGGAAGAAGCUUGCUUCUUUGCUGACGAGUGGCGGACGGGUGAGUAAUGUCUGGGAAACUGCCUGAUGGAGGGGGAUAACUACUGGAAACGGUAGCUAAUACCGCAUAACGUCGCAAGACCAAAAAGGGGGACCUUCGGGCCUCUUGCCAUCGGAUGUGCCCAGAUGGGAUUAGCUAGUAGGUGGGGUAACGGCUCACCUAGGCGACGAUCCCUAGCUGGUCUGAGAGGAUGACCAGCCACACUGGAACUGAGACACGGUCCAGACUCCUACGGGAGGCAGCAGUGGGGAAUAUUGCAUAAUGGGCGCAAGCCUGAUGCAGCCAUGCCGCGUGUAUGAAGAAGGCCUUCGGGUUGUAAAGUACUUUCAGCGGGGAGGAAGGGAGUAAAGUUAAUACCUUUGCUCAUUGACGUUACCCGCAGAAGAAGCACCGGCUAACUCCGUG